GUAGUCCACGCCCUAAACGAUGGGUGCUAGCCGUUGGGAGGUUACCUUCCAGUGGCGCAGCUAACGCGUUAAGCACCCCGCCUGGGGAGUACGGUCGCAAGAUUAAAACUCAAAGAAAUUGACGGGGACCCGCACAAGCGGUGGAACAUGUGGUUUAAUUCGAGGCAACGCGAAGAACCUUACCAGGCCUUGACAUGCCCUCUAUAGAACGCAGAAACGUGUUCUUUCACCUCGGGUGGGAGGUGCACAGGUGCUGCAUGGCUGUCGUCAGCUCGUGUCGUGAGAUGUUGGGUUAAGUCCCGCAACGAGCGCAACCCUCGUCCUCUGUUGCCAGCACGUAAUGGUGGGAACUCUGAGGAAACUGCCGGUGAUAAGCCGGA
rnacentral:rRNA from 1 species